GUCUUCUCGGUUUUUUGGGAAGUCUGACCUGCCCAUUGAUAUUUAUUUAACGGCCGCGGUAUUUUGACCGUGCAAAGGUAGCAUAAUCAUUAGUCUUUUAAUAGGGGACUGGAAUGAAGGGUUUGACGAGGUAUUAACUGUCUCAUUAUAAAAUUUUGAAUUUAUCUUUUGAGUUAAAAGACUCAGUUGUUAUUGGUAGACGAGAAGACCCUAUAGAGCUUUAUAAUUGAUAUUUUGGCUUGAAUUUGUUUAAUGAUUGCGUGUCAUUUUUUUAAUUUUUUUGUUGGGGUGACAACAAAUAUAUGUUUAACUUUUGGAUUAAACUUAUCAUUUAUUUAUGUUUAUUAGAUCCUUUAUUAUUGAUUGUUAGUUUAAGUUACCUUAGGGAUAACAGCGUAAUUUUCUUUCAGAGUUCAUAUUUACAAGAAAGCUUGCGACCUCGAUGUUGGAUUAAGAUGAUAGUUGGGUGUAGAAGCUUGAUUAAUAGGUCUGUUCGACCUUUAAAUUCUUACAUGAUCUGAGUUCAGACCGG
rnacentral:rRNA from 1 species